AGAGGUGGCUGGCCGGUUACCGUCUGUACAGUGGAUGCCAGAGCUUCGCCGAUUUUCACCUACUGUUCCUGUAGUUCUUGUUGGAACCAAACUAGAUCUCCGUGAAGACAGAUCUUACCUUGCUGACCAUUCUGCUGCUUCCAUCAUCUCUACUGAACAGGGAGAAGAGCUCAGGAAGCAGAUUGAAAUAAAACGACAAACAUUU